UAUGCUCUGAUAACUUCUGGUUGGAUUAUUGCAACACACUGUACAAGGGACUGCCUUUCAAAUGAUCUGGAGACGUCAAUUAAUAUCAAACCCAGCAGCUUGACUGCUCACUAGGUCCGGGCAGAAGAAGAUGAUCAUGGCUUCAAAACCUAAGGGACUGGAUUGGACAAAACUCAGCAACACUUUUUCAUACGGCUGUUGACAAAAAUAGGAUUGCCAACAUGAUCGCCAACGUCCGAUGAUGGAUACGGCACAAGAGGAAGAAGAAUUGUUUUAACUUUUGAAUGUGCCCUAGUUUUAAUGUGGUAUUUUUAUUUUGCAUUUUAUUAUAUAGGUUUUUAUUCACAUUA